AGAGUUUGAUCCUGGCUCAGAACGAACGCUGGCGGCAGGCUUCAUACAUGCAAGUCGAGCGGAAAGGCCCCUUCGGGGGUACUCGAGCGGCGAACGGGUGAGUAACAGGUGGGUAAUCUGCCUUUCGGAGGGGGAUAACGGCUGGAAACGGCCGCUAAUACCCCGUACGGUUGUGAAGCUCUCGGGCUUUGCAAAGAAAGGGGCCUUUAAAGCCCCGCCGAAAGAUGAGCCCGCCCCCCAUUAGCUAGUUGGCGGGGUAAUGGCCCACCAAGGCUGUGAUGGGUAGCCGAGCUGAGAGGUUGAUCGGCCACACUGGAACUGAGACACGGUCCAGACACCUACGGGUGGCAGCAGUAGGGAAUAUUGCGCAAUGGGCGAAAGCCUGACGCAGCCAUGCCGCGUGGAUGAUGAAGGCCUUCGGGUCGUAAAGUCCUUUUCUGAGGGUAGAACUGCCGGGGGAGGAAAUGCCCUUGGCUUGACGGUACCUCAGGAAUAAGCAACGGCUAACUCCGUGCCAGCAGCCGCGGUAAUACGGAGGUUGCAAGCGUUGUUCGGAAUGACUGGGCGUAAAGGGAGCGCAGGCGGCCAAGUCAGUCUGAAGUGAAAGCCCGGGGCUUAACCCCGGAAUAGCUUUGGAUACUGCCUGGCUUGAGUGUGCGAUAGGAAAGCGGAAUUCCAGGUGUAGCGGUGAAAUGCGUAGAUAUCUGGAGGAACACCGGUGGCGAAAGCGGCUUUCUGGCGCAUAACUGACGCUGAGGCUCGAAAGCGUGGGGAGCGAACGGGAUUAGAUACCCCGGUAGUCCACGCCGUAAACGUUGUGCACUAGGUGUGGAGGUAUCGACCCCUUCCGUGCCGAAGCUACGCAUUAAGUGCACGCUGGGGAGUACGGUCGCAGACUGAAACUCAAAUGAAUUGACGG
rnacentral:rRNA from 1 species